GCGGCAGGCUUAACACAUGCAAGUCGAGGGGUAACAGAGGUAGCUUGCUACUUGCUGACGACCGGCGCACGGGUGCGUAACGCGUAUAGAAUCUACCUUAUACUGGGGGAUAGCCUUUGGAAACGAAGAUUAAUACCCCAUAGUAUGUUUGAAUGGCAUCAUUUGGACAUUAAAGUUUCGGCGGUAUAAGAUGACUAUGCGUUCUAUUAGUUUGUUGGUAAGGUAACGGCUUACCAAGACUACGAUAGAUAGGGGUCCUGAGAGGGAGAUCCCCCACACUGGUACUGAGACACGGACCAGACUCCUACGGGAGGCAGCAGUGAGGAAUAUUGGACAAUGGAGGCAACUCUGAUCCAGCCAUGCCGCGUGUAGGAAGACUGCCCUAUGGGUUGUAAACUACUUUUAUAUGGGAAGAAUAAGGUCUACGUGUAGACUGAUGACGGUACCAUAAGAAUAAGCACCGGCUAACUCCGUGCCAGCAGCCGCGGUAAUACGGAGGGUGCAAGCGUUAUCCGGAAUCAUUGGGUUUAAAGGGUCCGUAGGCGGGCAUAUAAGUCAGUGGUGAAAGUCUGUGGCUCAACCAUAGAAUUGCCAUUGAUACUGUAUGUCUUGAAUUAUUGUGAAGUGGUUAGAAUAUGUAGUGUAGCGGUGAAAUGCUUAGAGAUUACAUAGAAUACCGAUUGCGAAGGCAGAUCACUAACAAUAUAUUGACGCUGAUGGACGAAAGCGUAGGUAGCGAACAGGAUUAGAUACCCUGGUAGUCUACGCCGUAAACGAUGGAUACUAGUUGUUUGGUUUUCGGACUGAGUGACUAAGCGAAAGUGAUA
rnacentral:rRNA from 1 species